UACGAAGGGGGCUAGCGUUGUUCGGAUUUACUGGGCGUAAAGCGCACGUAGGCGGAUCGUUAAGUCGGGGGUGAAAUCCUGGAGCUCAACUCCAGAACUGCCUUCGAUACUGGCGAUCUUGAGUCCGGAAGAGGUGAGUGGAACUCCUAGUGUAGAGGUGGAAUUCGUAGAUAUCUGGAGGAACACCGGUGGCGAAGGCGGCGUUCUGGACUGCAACUGACACUGAGAGACGAAAGCCAGGGGAGCAAACGGG
rnacentral:rRNA from 1 species